UACGUAGGGUGCAAGCGUUAAUCGGAAUUACUGGGCGUAAAGCGUGCGCAGGCGGUUAUGUAAGACAGGGGUGAAAUCCCCGGGCUUAACCUGGGAACUGCAUUUGUGACUGCAUAGCUAGAGUACGGUAGAGGGGGAUGGAAUUCCGCGUGUAGCAGUGAAAUGCGUAGAUAUGCGGAGGAACACCGAUGGCGAAGGCAAUCCCCUGGACCUGUACUGACGCUCAUGCACGAAAGCGUGGGGGGCAAACAGG
rnacentral:rRNA from 1 species